rnacentral:rRNA from 1 species
UACAGAGGGUGCAAGCGUUAAUCGGAAUUACUGGGCGUAAAGCGCACGAAGGCGGUUUUUUAAGUCAGAUGUGAAAGCCCCGGGCUCAACCUGGGAAUUGCAUUUGAAACUGGGAAACUAGAGUGUGUGAGAGGGGGGUAGAAUUCCAAGUGUAGCGGUGAAAUGCGUAGAGAUUUGGAGGAAUACCAGUGGCGAAGGCGGCCCCCUGGCACAACACUGACGCUCAGGUGCGAAAGCGUGGGGAGCAAACAGG